CAGGCUUAACACAUGCAAGUCGAGGGGCAGCAUGGUCUUAGCUUGCUAAGGCCGAUGGCGACCGGCGCACGGGUGAGUAACACGUAUCCAACCUGCCGUCUACUCUUGGACAGCCUUCUGAAAGGAAGAUUAAUACAAGAUGGCAUCAUGAGUCCGCAUGUUCACAUGAUUAAAGGUAUUCCGGUAGACGAUGGGGAUGCGUUCCAUUAGAUAGUAGGCGGGGUAACGGCCCACCUAGUCUUCGAUGGAUAGGGGUUCUGAGAGGAAGGUCCCCCACAUUGGAACUGAGACACGGUCCAAACUCCUACGGGAGGCAGCAGUGAGGAAUAUUGGUCAAUGGGCGAGAGCCUGAACCAGCCAAGUAGCGUGAAGGAUGACUGCCCUAUGGGUUGUAAACUUCUUUUAUAAAGGAAUAAAGUCGGGUAUGGAUACCCGUUUGCAUGUACUUUAUGAAUAAGGAUCGGCUAACUCCGUGCCAGCAGCCGCGGUAAUACGGAGGAUCCGAGCGUUAUCCGGAUUUAUUGGGUUUAAAGGGAGCGUAGAUGGAUGUUUAAGUCAGUUGUGAAAGUUUGCGGCUCAACCGUAAAAUUGCAGUUGAUACUGGAUAUCUUGAGUGCAGUUGAGGCAGGCGGAAUUCGUGGUGUAGCGGUGAAAUGCCUAGAUAUCACGAAGAACUCCGAUUGCGAAGGCAGCCUGCUAAGCUGCAACUGACAUUGAGGCUCGAAAGUGUGGGUAUCAAACAGGAUUAGAUACCCUGGUAGUCCACACGGUAAACGAUGAAUACUCGCUGUUUGCGAUAUACAGCAAGCGGCCAAGCGAAAGCGUUAAGUAUUCCACCUGGGGAGUACGCCGGCAACGGUGAAACUCAAAGGAAUUGACGGGGGCCCGCACAAGCGGAGGAACAUGUGGUUUAAUUCGAUGAUACGCGAGGAACCUUACCCGGGCUUAAAUUGCAGAUGAAUUACGGUGAAAGCCGUAAGCCGCAAGGCAUCUGUGAAGGUGCUGCAUGGUUGUCGUCAGCUCGUGCCGUGAGGUGUCGGCUUAAGUGCCAUAACGAGCGCAACCCUUGUUGUCAGUUACUAACAGGUUCUGCUGAGGACUCUGACGAGACUGCCAUCGUAAGAUGUGAGGAAGGUGGGGAUGACGUCAAAUCAGCACGGCCCUUACGUCCGGGGCUACACACGUGUUACAAUGGGGGGUACAGAGGGCCGCUACCACGCGAGUGGAUGCCAAUCCCCAAAACCUCUCUCAGUUCGGACUGGAGUCUGCAACCCGACUCCACGAAGCUGGAUUCGCUAGUAAUCGCGCAUCAGCCACGGCGCGGUGAAUACGUUCCCGGGCCUUGUACACACCGCCCGUCAAGCCAUGGGAGCCGGGGGUACCUGAAGUGCGUAACCGCGAGGAGCGCCCUAGGGUAAAACUGGUGACUGGGGC
rnacentral:rRNA from 1 species